AGCUGCCCGUGCGGUGACCGUCGAGGUGACCCGCAGCUGGCUCCAUGGCGGAACCGGCCGGCACGGAUUAUUCCCCUCUCGGGAGAGAGGUCUGCAGCCGGGCCUCAGUGCUUCAGUUCGUGGCCUGGCAUUUUGUAGAUGGGGUCUCAUCUGUUGCCCAGGCUGGUCUCAAACUCCUGGCUUCAAGCAAUCCUCCUGCUUCGGCCUCCCAAACUUCUGGGAUUACAGAUAUGAGCCACCACGGCUUGCUGAUGGGCACCAGAUUCUCGGAGAGGACUUGAAUAGGCUCCCAAGGAGGCAGCAGAAACCGAGGUAAUCACAACGGUCAACAGCAGUGAAGGCAG